rnacentral:rRNA from 1 species
GCCCAAGAGAUCGGGAUAACACCUGGAAACAGAUGCUAAUACCGGAUAACAACAGAUGAUGCCUAUCAACUGUUUAAAAGAUGGUUCUGCUAUCACUCUUGGAUGGAACCUGCGGUGCAUUAGCUAGUUGGUAGGGUAACGGCCUACCAAGGCGAUGAUGCAUAGCCGAGUUGAGAGACUGAUCGGCCACAUUGGGACUGAGACACGGCCCAAACUCCUACGGGAGGCAGCAGC